UACGAAGGGAGCUAGCGUUGUUCGGAAUCACUGGGCGUAAAGCGCACGUAGGCGGAUGUGUCAGUCAGGGGUGAAAUCCCGGAGCUCAACUUCGGAACUGCCCUUGAUACAGCACGUCUUGAGUCCGGAAGAGGUGGGUGGAAUUCCUAGUGCAGAGGUGAAAUUCGUAGAUAUUAGGAAGAACACCGGUGGCGAAGGCGGCCCGCUGGUCCGGUACUGACGCUGAGGUGCGAAAGCGUGGGGAGCAAACAGG
rnacentral:rRNA from 1 species